GAGAACAAUCAACUCUUCAUUCUUUUAUGGUGACAACAAGCUUGAAAUCAAGCACUUUAUGCUUUCCUUUGCGUCUAUAAAAACAUCUGUACAAAUAAAAUGAAAUGCAUUAACAGCUGAAAGGCUCUUCAAAUCACUAGGAAUACGCUGAUUUUCUUCAAUGUCCAUUGAGAUUUUCACGUUUUGAGUAGCCUCAUCAGUUUCUUGCUCUAGAAUAGGCUCUUCAAUAGGUGUAUGUUCAAUACUCAAAUUUUCAGAUUCUUCAAUUUUAGAAUCGUCAAGUUGUUCUUUCUCAAUUUCAUCUUCAACCUCAAGUUGCCUUCCCAAUUCAAGCUUCUCUUGUUGUUGACUUGCUUUUUCAACACUUUUUGCCUUCAUAUUUUCAGUACUUUUACUAUAUCCAACUGUUCUCUCAAUUGGAACAAAUGUGCUUCUUUCCAUGCUUCAAAUUCUUCAAGUUCGUUAUGCUUAUCUUGUUGAUGGGCUUGUUGAUCAUGAUACCCAUUCUUACAUUCUUCAAGUGCUUUCUCCCUAUAUUGUAAAAUUAUUUGUAUAUCCUGAUACUCAUUAAAUAAACCACAAG
rnacentral:misc_RNA from 1 species